UACGAAGGGGGCUAGCGUUGCUCGGAAUCACUGGGCGUAAAGGGCGCGUAGGCGGCCUUCUAAGUCGGACGUGAAAUCCCUCGGCUUAACCGAGGAACUGCGUCCGAUACUGAAAGGCUUGAAUCCGGGAGAGGGAUGUGGAAUUCCAGGUGUAGCGGUGAAAUGCGUAGAUAUCUGGAGGAACACCGGUGGCGAAGGCGGCAUCCUGGACCGGCAUUGACGCUGAGGCGCGAAAGCUAGGGGAGCAAACGGG
rnacentral:rRNA from 1 species